GCAUGACAUUAGUUAUUUUUUAUUUAUGAGGUAUUACAUUUUAUCAUUUGCUGCAUCAUUUUUUUUAUGACUAUAAUAAACCCCAUAGAUUAGGAUAAUGAUUUUAAGGUCAUGAUGAGAUCAUUCCAGUGAGACCUAAAAUCUUGAUAGCUUCAAUCUAAAAUAUUUUCAGUUGUUGGAUCAUUGAGUCAGAGAUCAAUGAUAUCGAUAAGAUUGGUACAUCCUAUGUAUGCUCGAUGGAGAGGAUGGUUGAUCUCA
rnacentral:lncRNA from 1 species